rnacentral:rRNA from 1 species
AGAGUUUGAUCAUGGCUCAGGAUGAACGCUGGCGGUCUGCUUAACACAUGCAAGUCGAACGGAACUUUUCGGAGUUCAGUGGCGGACGGGUGAGUAACGCGUGAGAAUCUGCCUUCUGGUCGGGGACAACCACUGGAAACGGUGGCUAAUACCGGAUGAGCCUACGGGUAAAAGAUUUAUUGCCAGAAGAGGAGCUCGCGUCUGAUUAGCUAGUUGGUGAGGUAAAAGCUCACCAAGGCAUCGAUCAGUAGCUGGUCUGAGAGGAUGACCAGCCACACUGGGACUGAGACACGGCCCAGACUCCUACGGGAGGCAGCAGUGGGGAAUUUUCCGCAAUGGGCGAAAGCCUGACGGAGCAAGACCGCGUGAGGGAGGAAGGCUCUUGGGUUGUAAACCUCUUUUCUUGGGGAAGAAAAAAAUGACGGUACCCAAGGAAUCAGCAUCGGCUAACUCCGUGCCAGCAGCCGCGGUAAUACGGAGGAUGCAAGCGUUAUCCGGAAUUAUUGGGCGUAAAGCGUCCGCAGGUGGCACUUCAAGUCUGCUGUCAAAGGUCGGGGCUUAACCCCGGGAAGGCAGUGGAAACUGAAGCGCUAGAGUGUCGUAGGGGUAGAGGGAAUUCCCGGUGUAGCGGUGAAAUGCGUAGAGAUCGGGAAGAACAUCGGUGGCGAAAGCGCUCUACUGGACGACAACUGACACUCAGGGACGAAAGCUAGGGGAGCGAAUGGGAUUAGAUACCCCCGUAGUCC